rnacentral:rRNA from 1 species
GACGAACGCUGGCGGCGUGCCUAAUACAUGCAAGUUGAGCGCUGAAGGUUGGUCCUUGUACCAACUGGAUGAGCAGCGAACGGGUGAGUAACGCGUGGGGAAUCUGCCUUUGAGCGGGGGACAACAUUUGGAAACGAAUGCUAAUACCGCAUAAAAACUUUAAACACAAGUUUUAAGUUUGAAAGAUGCAAUUGCAUCACUCAAAGAUGAUCCCGCGUUGUAUUAGCUAGUUGGUGAGGUAAAGGCUCACCAAGGCGAUGAUACAUAGCCGACCUGAGAAGGUGAUCGGCCACAUUGGGACUGGGGCACGGCCCAAGACCCUACGGGAGGGAGCAGGAGGGGAACUUCGGACAAGGGCGGAAGUCCGGCCGAGCAACGCCGGGUGGGAGAAGAAGGUUCUCGGAUCGUAAAACUCCGUUGGUAGGGAAGAACGUUGGUGAGAGUGGAAAGCUCAUCAAGUGACGGUAACUAAACAGAAAGGGACGGCUAACUACGUG